AAUAUGCAAGGAACACGGCGGACUCCGCAGCACGGCUCAGCCCGGCCCGGCCCCGCCGCCGGGGGAAGGCGCCCUCGGGCCGCUGCCAGAAAGUCCCUGGGAACAGUUUGCGCUUAACUGAAGUAGGAUGCGCAAAAGCGAUGCUUCCGAAUUCAUGCCGCUGCCUGAUGAAAAUGUUCAUCUGGAUGUUCUUUCGCUGUGCCGGCGUUUGAAGCGACAGUGCUGCUGGUGGUGAGCACUCGCUGCUCUUAAAAGCAGUUGGCAAAGGCGUGAAGAAGAUUUAGUUUUGAAAAUGAAUGUGCAGUAGCAAGGCUGAGUCUGCAUGAGGUUUGAAACGCACCAUUCUACCAGCAUUAAAGAAGUCCUAAAUCAGCUCUUUUGUUCCCAAACAACAGAAAAGAAUUUAGGAUUUCCUUCUGUUUGCCUAAUGAUUUCCUAAAUUGCUCAGUCACCUUUUCGGUCGUUACAAGGGGAUUAGAAGCUACUCUUGCCUUUCUGCUUCCCCUUCUUCACCGUUUCUUUCCUCUUCCUUUUCCUCUCCACCUUCCUGUUCAGAAGCGUGCAAUCUCCUCAGCCGCUAAAGGCAUGUCACGUCAAAUAUCAUUAUCUACAAAAAUGGUCCUGUAGGUGU